rnacentral:lncRNA from 1 species
UUAUUAUUUCGUUAGUUUUUUUGCUAUUCUAUGAUUUAUAUAAUGAUAGAUUCUUACGGUAAAAUAAAAAUGGGGUAAUUGCUUAUAUACCCCUGAAAAAUUUUCGAUUUUCUGAUUUACCCCUAUUAGAAAGCUAAUAUUAAAAAUACAUUUUUACGUUCUAAUCUAUUUCAAAUAUACCCAUAGAGUUAAAAUCCGUUAAUGAACUUUGUUAUCUGUAUAAAAUUACUAUUUUGCCCUUUCAAAUAUAACCUUCCACCAUCACCGACUUUUCUUUUCUUAUUUGCCCUUAAGUCUGAGGCACAAAAAGUAUUUUGACUUUUGGUCUUUUCAAAUAUACCCCUCUACCAUCACCAAUAUUUCUUAUUUGCCCUUAAGUUAAGGGCAAAAUUAAUAUUUUAAUUUUUUUUUAACUAUGGUAGAUAUUUAACUCAUGUUUAAUCCUAGUUAACUUAACGGAUGAUAACUGUAGGAGUAUUUUGGAAUAACGGAGGAACAUAUGAGGGGUAUAUUGAAAAGAAAAAAAAAGCAGGGAUAAAUAAGAUAUUUUUGAAGUUUUGAGGGGUAUAUAGGCAAUUAUCCCAAUAAAAAUAAA